rnacentral:rRNA from 1 species
UACGGAGGGUGCGAGCGUUGUCCGGAAUCACUGGGCGUAAAGGCGCGUAGGCGGCCUGAUAAGUAGGGGGUGAAAUCCUGCGGCUUAACCGCAGGGCUGCCUUCUAAACUGUCGGGCUCGAGCACGGUAGAGGCAGAUGGAAUUCCCGGUGUAGCGGUGGAAUGCGUAGAGAUCGGGAAGAACAUCAGUGGCGAAGGCGGUCUGCUGGGCCGUUGCUGACGCUGAGGCGCGACAGCGUGGGGAGCAAACAGG